rnacentral:lncRNA from 1 species
UGUCACAUCCCUAGUUCUGACAAUGCCUAGUGCAUGCAUUAGAGUGUUGCAUCAUGUUUAAAUUUCAUUUAAACCUGAAAUGGGAAUGAUAGAACUCCCAGCCCCCUCUGAAUCAACUAGGGUUUACUAAAAAUAUUUUCAAUGAACCUGAAAUGCCCUUCUAAAAUGUCCAUCAUUUUUGUCUUGGUUCAGAACCUCUGCCAAAAGUGAUGCACAAUUUCCUAGGUCAUCCUAAGGUCUUUGAAUUAAAUCAUAAUUAUUUGAAUUUGGGCGUUUAAAAUUAUAUAAAAUAUUUCAAAUGCUCAAAAAUCUCCAAACUGAAAUGUUUCAUGUUGGAAAUAUUCCAACAAUGGACCAGGAGUAGUUUGGUGAAUUUUAGAACCUUUUAGGUAGUUUUAAUAAUUCAACAAAGGUGCAGAAAAAUAGAAAAGAAAAAUAACAGAAACAGAAAAUAACAGGAAAGACUUACCUGGCGCCCGCUAACCAGCCCACCUGCCGGCCCAGCCCAGCGCCGCGCCAGCGAGCUGCUUGCCGGCCAGGCAGGCAGGCAGGUGCUCGACGGCGAGCACCGCAUGGGUGCCACGCACCUGCUCGCCGCCUCGCUGCUUCUCUCGCCCGGCUAACGCCGUGAAUCACUCCCCCUCUCUUCCCAGAAACCCCCGGACGCCUCCUCUCCUCUCCAGCUCCUUCCCCUCGCGCUCCCCAGCCAUGGCCGACGCCACCGCCGCCGUGCCCACGUCGUAGCCGUGCUCCCCGUCGCCCGUGCGUCUUCUCGUCGUGUCCAGGAGCUCCACCGCCGUCCACUUCGUCGAGCUACCCGAGCCCCGUGUGCUCGCGAGGCCCGAGUCCGCCGCACUGACCUCGCCGAGUUCGCCGUCGCCGGAGAUCCCCUUCAACGCUGCCGCCGCCUCAGCUCGUCCCCGACCCCGCCGGUGGCCUCUACGAGUGCCCAGUGAGCCUAGCUACCCCUCCUACCCUUCCUCCCUCGCCCCCGAGCCGUGUAGCCACCGCACGAAGAUCGACCGCACGCGCCGCCGCGGACCACAUCGCCGACGUGCCUCCGGCUAACCACCGGCCACCUCACCUUGUCCAACGCAUUCAGCACACCGCGCUGAGGCUAACCGUGCACUCCCCGCACCUCACCGCACACCCCAGCCCGAGUUCGCUCUCACCCGAACUCCGGUGGCCGCCAAAGUCGCCGCCGGCGCCAACUCCGACAACCCCGACCCCAACGGACUCCGCCAAGAGCCGCGGCUCGUCCUCAGCUCCACUCCGAUGCCCUCCGCGGCUCAUUUGGUUGCCGGAACGGCCAAAAUCACUUCCGCCGCCGCGUCGGGCUCGCCGGCGGCUAAACGCCGGUGCAGCCGUGUCGACUUUGACCACGGGUGGGCCCCGGUUGACUCCGUUGAGUCAAUGACAGGUGGGGCCCCCUUCUGCUAAUUACCCAGAUCAGUUUAAACUAAAUUAAAUUAGUUAAUUAGCCACUGACACGCGGGACCCACAGGUCAGUUUGACCUGGACCAGCCCGUUGACCUGAUGACGUCACUAUGAGGUCAUGCUGACGCAAUAAUUCCUUUCUGGAAUUUAAAUAAAUCUUAAAUGAUUUAAUAUAUUCAGAAAAUGCCCUAAACUUCUAAAAUUCAUAGAAAUUCAACCAUAGCUCCAAAUCAAACAAGUUAUAUAUGAAAAAUGAUCAGAAAAAUCCAAUCUAUCCAUCUGCACUGGUUUCAUGCAUGUUAGAGCAACUUAACCCUGCUGUUUAGAUGAAACAAGUUAAUGCACCUUUAUGACUUCAUAUAAUGGGUUUGCAUUUGAAUCUUUGGUUCAAAUGGAUUCAUUUCAAUCUCUUCUAGCUUGCAUUAGCCAAAACACAUGCAUAUUGCCAUGUCAUGAGCAUGCAUCAUAUUGUGCAUUGCAUUGAUUGUAUUUCUUCUCUGUUGCCGGUAUCUGUCCCCUCUCGGUAGACGAUGUUCGACGAUGAGUUCGAUGACACUGAUGAAGAACUAUAUUAUCUUCAGAAGUGCCAGGCAAGCAAAACCCCCUUGUUCAUUCCGAUACAAACCCACUCUCUCGCUCCUGCUCUCUUUUACUGCAUUAGGACAACAACGAUUCAUCUGUUACUUGCUGCGGUAGCUGAACCCCUUUAUCCUUUGCAUGACCUGUCAUUCCACAGUAAAUAGAUGAAACCCACUAGCAUGAGUAGGAGUUGUUUGAGCCCUGUUGUGCCUACUCAUACAUGCUUGUUUGUCAUGCCUGCUACUGCUUAGAGUUGAGUCGGGUCUGAUUCAUCGAGGAUGAACCAGAGGUGUGUGAACAUGUCCUACUGUGUGUGAGCUAAGUGUGUGAACACGAUUUGGUAAAGGUAGCGGUGAGAGGCCAUGUAGGAGUACAUGGUGGGUUGUCUCAUUGCAGCCGUCCUCAGGAACUGAGUUCUGUGUUUGUGAUCCAUGAUUCAGCUACUACCACGCAUUGGGCCCGAAACCAAUGGACCCCCUCGGCUUCUUAAUCACCCUUGUCCUCUGUCCAGGAGUUGCAAGUAGUUUCUGGUGUUUGUAGUAUGCUGGAGGCCGUGCGCAGCGCUGACCGUAGGGGUGGGCUGUGAUGCGGUAGGCACGUGGCCGGGUAAACCGGGCGCCCGAUUGGUGUCACGGAACCCUGUUCACAUCGUUUGGGGCUGUGAGCGAAACUUCGGCCGGAACUCCUCAUAGAUGGAACCCAAAUAGGCGAUAAACCUGGACUAGGGACUUGAGUGUUUAGGUAGGUCGUGGCCGACACCCACGUUGGGCUUCCGCUUGAAGGUUGCCGAGUACAUGUCGUGUAAACGGCGGUAAGUGGUGAGAGCGUGUGUGAAGAAGUACACCCCUGCAGGGUUAACAUUAUCUAUUCGAAUAGCCGUGUCCGCGGUAAAGGACUUCUGGGUUGCCUGUACAGUUCAUAGACAAGUGAAAGUGGAUACUCUAAAAUACGCAAGAUAAGUGUGAGUGCUAUGGAUGGCGUUCUCAUAGGGAGACGGAGCGGAUCCAUAGUGGUGUAUUGAUAUGGUGAAUAUGUGGACUCGUGUGCGCCACCUCAAAAGAGUUACUUGCAGUCGUAGUUUAGGAUAGCCACCGAGUCAAAGCUGGCUUGCUGCUGUUAAACUCCACCAUCCCCUUUAUUGAUAAUGAUGCAUAUGUAGUUAGUUCUGAUGUAAGUCUUGCUGGGUACAUUUGUACUCACGUUUGCCUAUUUUAUGUUUUUGUAGAGAGACUUCAGUCUCACUAGUAGUUCCACGUGGACUUCGACGUUUAGCUUGUUACCUCAGCUACGAUCUUGUGCCCUCGGCAGGAUUUGGUAGAUAGUCAGGCUUCUUAGCCUUUUUCAUUUAUAGUUGCCUGUACUCAGGCAUAUUAGCUUCCGCUUGUGCCUGAUUUGUAUGCUCUGAAUGUUGGGUCAUGAGACCCCUGUUUGUAAUAUCUCGCUCCUCGGAGCCUAAUGAAUAAAUACUUGAGUCGUAGAGUCAUGUUGUGAUGCCAUGUUGUAUUUGCACAUAUCGGGCAUAUUAUGUGUAUGAUUGAAAUGCUUGGUAUGUGUGGGAUCUGACUAUCUAGUUGUUUAUCUUUAGUAGCCUCUCUUACCGGGAAAUGUCUCCUAGUGUUUCCACUGAGCCAUGGUAGCUUGCUACUGCUCCGGAACACUUAGGCUGGCCGGCAUGUGUCCUUCUUCGUUCCCGUGUCUGUCCCUUCGGGGAAAUGUCACGCGUUGAGUACCGGAGUCCUGUUAGCCCGCUACAGCCCGGUUCACCGGAGUCCUGCUAGCCCAGUGCUACAGCCCGGAACUUACACGCUGAUGACCGACACGUUCGAUGCUGGGUCAUGGAUGCCUGUCCCUGUAAGUCUGUGCCACUUUGGGUUUACGACUAGCCAUGUCAGCCCGGGCUCCUUUUCAUAUGGAUGCUAGCGACACUAUCAUAUACGCGUGCCAAAAGGCACAAACGGUCCCGGGCUAAGGUAAGGCGACACCCGUUGGGAUACCGUGCAUGAGGCCGCAAAGUGAUAUGAUGUGUUACAGGCUAGAUCGAUGUGACAUUGAGUCGGGGUCCUGACAGUUUUGGUAUCAGAGCUUGACUGCCUGUAGGUUCUCCAAGCCAAACUGGUCGAAGUUGAGUCUAGAAAUGCUUUAGUUAUAUGUAGGGGAAUUGAUUGUGGGAUGGAACGUAAGGCUCUUUUUACUCCUUAUACCUCAUGGCCUUCUGAUCUGAGUCAUCCUCUUCUCUUCUACGGGGAUUAAGAACUAGGCCUUCUCAUCUAUCUAUCAGGAUGACGUGUUACUAAUCCAUAGACUUAUAGAAUUGUUAGUUUCAAAUCUCAGCUCAGUUUUACUACUUCCGUAUGUUAACUGUUGAUCUCAAAAACCUUGAUAUUGUGCUUCUGAGUGGCUAUGCCACCAUUUUUAUAGCAUGUCUCCAAUCUUUUGAGCAUUUACAGCCGUUAUGCUGUCCGAGUCAUCCCAGGUUCCUAAAUAGUCUGAAGCAUUUGCAAAAUCCCUUCCUCCCGUUCCGAUGUUCCUUUGGGCCAGAUUAACCACACUAAUCGGUGAGUUGAGGUAUUCUAUUGCCUCGACAUAUAUGUUGGAAUUAUUAUUAUGACCCUAGGUGUCUUAGGGGAUCAUCUAGUAAUCUAGCCAUGAUUUGUAUCCCAGUGUGAUGACUCUGGCCUUUAUUCCCGAAAGCAUCCCGUGAUGCAAUUUAGUUAGUAGGUAUUCUAUUCCUGGGUUUUUGAACCCGAGAUUCACCCUACCUACUUCAUGUUGAUAGUGUUUGCUCGUUCCUUUAGGUUAUUAGUAACCUUUGCAUUAGUCCUCGAGGUCCGUGGUAUUUCCUUCUUCCAAAUACUAUGAACCGCUUAUGGCAGAAGUUUGUUGGAUCAAAAGAUCACAACAGGAGUGCUCUUGAUGAGUUCUCCAUUUUAUAUUGCGACUCUGCCAGUUCCACCUUUCUGCAUGGGUUACCCGGAAGAAAAGUUGAGCUUCGCUCGACAUACUAAUCUAUGCAUCCACAACUCAGAAAAUUAUAUGUUCCUUUGAGUUGUCCCUCGUUAGUUGUGUUCUGACCCUCGUCUGUCAAUUGAUAGUCAAGAGUAUGUGUGCAUUCGUUCAUCGGUGCCUAUUAUUCUUGUGGUCCGUCAAGCCAUUCUAUUCCAGAAUGACUAGGAGAAACAAACUCCAGUACCUCAUCCAUAUCCAGGAUUGGGUCAAAGUAGUUGUAUCUCGCAGAUCAAAAUGUCUACCCAACUCUUGUUCUGUUCUACCCCGGAGUAUUACCAUCUUUAUAUCAAGAAUGUCAUGGGAAUUGCACACCAUCUCCCAUGAAUUCUUGACGCAGUGAUACUUCUUGCCAUCAUUUUUCAUUCUUUGGUCCCGUGUUGUUGCAACCGGAAUACCGACAAGUGAAUCGUGAUGUGUGAAAUCAAUACUGCUAGCAACUCCGUUGCUUGGUAGUUAAUGGACAAUAUUCUCAUUCUUAGCGUGUUGAUUACUGAAUCAUCACCCUAAGGUUGAUUGUGCCACCUAGUCCAUUUUCCUGGUGCACACUUCGAUUGAUGAGUUAGGAUCUUGACAAGUCCUCGCUCAUUUGAUCAUAUCAUCUUGCCUUCAAAGACAAGAUUGUUCUCGGGCUUAGUAACAUACCGGUGGUUCGUGAUUUUCUGAAUAUCUUCUCGGAAGUAUCACCAGGUCGUCACCUGACCGCUAUGUUGAGUUUGUGAUCAAGUUGGUUUAUUCCUGUAAACCACCCUUUCUCCAAGAAUCCAUGUUGGAUACCCCUGAGCUAGUUGGUUAAGCUAAACAACAACUUGGAGAGUUGGAAGAUAAAAGAUUGCCUGGCUUAGUUCCUUCUAAGGGAUAUCUUUUUGUGUGUGUUGAAGAAAGAUGAUAUCUUCAUCAAUUGAUCCUCGAGACCAGUUGUUGGAGCUAUUGUCUUGCCAAAACUUUGAUUUGAGUAUGGGUUAUCAUCAAGUCAAAUCAGAACCAACGAUGUUCGUAAUGUUGUCUUACUCGUGGAUUUUCCUCGAGCAUACACCAUUAUAUCUUUUGGGUCUGACCAAUACUAUCACCUUGUUCACAUAGUUAUGGAAUUCCAUCUCCAUGGAAACCAGGAUGAAUUGUUGUUGAGCCCAUCGACAACACCCUUGUCUUCUCCAUAGUUUUGUUGAACAUUAAGCUAGUGUUGGAAACUUCUUAAAGCAUUUAUUCAUGCUAGCUCAUGAAGCAUAUGUUCGGAUGUAAGAAGUGACUUCCUCUAGUUCAUGUACAUUUGAUGCAAGUUGCCGCCAUGAAUUCGAGAAAGUCAAUGUUGCUUCCUUUGGAAUCAUCCCAAAUCAGUCAUGCAUACGUACGAAGUAUUCUAUGGUUUGGUAGAUUAAUUACCUCCACUCCAUAUGUGUUCCUAGCACACCAAGCCACUGAUUGAUUUGUUCAAGGAGAAGAAGUUCCUUCGUAGGCUCGAGACUUACGCCAGGACUUCGAUAUCCUCGAUGAUGGUUUCCCUCCUGAACUUGCUAGUGUUUUAUUAUAAGACUACUAUGUGGUCAUGCUUGUCUGGGACAACGUGUUCACAUGUUUGUAGCAGAACCAGCUCAUGUUUUGGAGCUUGCUAUCGUAGUUCAUUUCCCGAGAAUCACGCAACAUCAUCUCGUCGGUUUGUGUUGCAAACUUUCAUUUUUCUUUCUAGACUCGAUGAGUCUAGAUUAUUCUGACACCAACCAGAUCUGAAUCUCAGGCAGAUAUGAUGGUUGGAACGUUUUCCAAGAUUUAUAAUAUUGGUCUCUCUGUAACCUGGUAAAAUGGAUGUCGUGGUCAACACACCCAACCGGAAGACCUGUUAUUGUAGUAUCUUGAUUGAGAAGUUGGCCACCUCUCCAUAAGGACUUCGUAGGAAUUAUUCCCUACUUGUGUGCCUUAUGAUUUUUGUGCUCCCGAAGUCCGACCUUUACUUGAUGUUCUAGAUACCAGACCAUUUCAAUGAAUGGGAUACGCUAGUACAUCAAGGAGAACAUUAGAAGCGGAGUGCUAAAAGUCUCUCGGUCGAUCAUCCAGAUUUUGUUCCCUUGGCCCCGCUAAGGUGAAAUCUGAGAAAAUGUUAUCUUUCUUUGCAUCUGCAUCGUCCAUCGCUGUUCAUCAUGGUAGUAUGUUGUGUUGUCAGCACCCUUGACACGGAUGUUGGUAAAACCUUGAUGAAUAUGGAAAUGCUCAAGUUCUUGAGAGCACUCACAAGCGCUAGGUGUUAUCACCAGCACUAACUGGAAUUGCUCCUAGUCUUUUCGGUUAUGCUAUAACCCUUUCAACAGUGGACUCACUCUCUACUGUUGAGCUUCUCCCUAGUUACUAAAAUCAUUCCUUAUGUUGUCUUCAACAAGGUAAUCCACAUCAUCCAACCUGGCCGAGAAUGUCAUUCCUUCGGACUCCUUCAAAUGAUCGAUUGUGAAUUGCCUUAGGCUGGUAUAAAGAGUUUCAAUGAUCUCUAAAUCAAAUAUAAUUCUUUUUGCCACUUAAGGGGAUAUAUCUUCGAGUCACCUUCCCUAAGGUGCAUCAUUAUGGUGUCAUGUCAGAAUAACUCCCCGCUACGUUGACAACCGUUCACCACCCUCUUAGGUGUGGAAUUGUUGUCUACCUAGUGAACCUUCGUCAUCUGUUCCACUCCAUUCCUCUAGACGUAUGCUUUAUAUCUCAGCUUGAGAGAUGUUUUUUGACUCAUCCCGCGAGCUGAUCCUAAGUUGUUCGAUCUUCGAGAAGAUCGAUCCUUCUAGAGUUUUCUUUCUCCUCUUGUUGUCAUGUCGAUUAGAGUUCUUAGAGCAAGACAUCAAGAUAAUGAGGGUGAUCGAAUCAACGUUCAUUUGAAGUGCAACUCGGAUUGUGAAGAUUAUAUUAGAUUGCGCUUUCCUUUCAUCUUACCCUACGCUUGAAUCUCGGGACGAGAUUCUUGUUUAGUGGGGGUGAGUUGUCACAUCCCUAGUUCUGACAAUGCCUAGUGCAUGCAUUAGAGUGUUGCAUCAUGUUUAAAUUUCAUUUAAACCUGAAAUGGGAAUGACAGAACUCCCAGCCCCCUAUGAAUCAACUAGGGUUUACUAAAAAUAUUUUCAAUGAACCUGAAAUGCCCUUCUAAAAUGUCCAUCAUUUUUGUCUUGGUUCAGAACCUCUGCCAAAAGUGAUGCACAAUUUCCUAGGUCAUCCUAAGGUCUUUGAAUUAAAUCAUAAUUAUUUGAAUUUGGGCAUUUAAAAUUAUAUAAAAUAUUUCAAAUGCUCAAAAAUCUCCAAACUGAAAUGUUUCAUGUUGGAAAUAUUCCAACAAUGGACCAGGAGUAGUUUGGUGAAUUUUAGAACCUUUUAGGUAUUUUUAAUAAUUCAACAAAGUUGCAGAAAAAUAGAAAA